AGAGAGAGACAUGCGCGCAUAUCAAUAAGCGGAGGAAAAGAAACUAACAAGGAUUCCCUUAGUAACGGCGAGUGAAGCGGGAAGAGCUCAAAUUUGGAAUCUUCAAGGUUCUACCUUGACGAAUUGUAGUUUAUAGAAGUGUUUUCUGUUAGUGGAGUGGCAAAAGUUCUUUGGAAUAGGACAUCAUAGAGGGUGAGAAUCCCGUAUUUGGUCAUUCCUCCUAGCGUUGUGAUACACUUUCAACGAGUCGGAUUGUUUGGGAAUGCAGUCCAAAAUGGGUGGUAAAUUUCAUCUAAAGCUAAAUAUUGGCGAGAGACCGAUAGCGAACAAGUACCGUGAGGGAAAGAUGAAAAGAACUUUGAAAAGAGAGUUAAACAGUACGUGAAAUUGUCAAAAGGGAAGCGUUUGACACCAGUGUUGUUUUUCCGAAAAUCAAUUACGAAUGUUUUAGUUUUUGAGGAGUUAUGACUUCAUCGGCUUGCUCCUUUCUUUAUGAAACUUUCUUAAUGCACUUUUCGGUUAACAAGUCAACAUCAAUUUCUUUUGUUGUAAAAGGGUAUGAGGAAGGUGGCUUUCUCUUCGGCGCAAGUGUUUAUAGCCUUGUAGCCUAUGCAAUCGGAGAGAGUUGAGGUCUGCAGCGUAGAUCCUUCGGGGUUAGAUACGUUUGUGCUAAGCUAUAGCCUUGUAUAGACAACUUGUUGACUAUGCUCUAGUCAUGUAGCUUACUCGCUGAUGCUAUUUUACCUACGCUUAGGAUGUUGAUAGUCACAGCGUGUAC
rnacentral:rRNA from 1 species